GAUGAACGCUGGCGGCGUGCCUAAUACAUGCAAGUAGAACGCUGAAGCUUGGUGCUUGCACCGAGCGGAGGAGUUGCGAACGGGUGAGUAACGCGUAGGUAACCUGCCUCUUAGCGGGGGAUAACUAUUGGAAACGAUAGCUAAUACCGCAUAAAAGUCGACAUUGCAUGAUGUUGACUUGAAAGGUGCAAAUGCAUCACUAAGAGAUGGACCUGCGUUGUAUUAGCUAGUUGGUGAGGUAACGGCUCACCAAGGCGACGAUACAUAGCCGACCUGAGAGGGUGAUCGGCCACACUGGGACUGAGACACGGCCCAGACUCCUACGGGAGGCAGCAGUAGGGAAUCUUCGGCAAUGGGGGCAACCCUGACCGAGCAACGCCGCGUGAGUGAAGAAGGUUUUCGGAUCGUAAAGCUCUGUUGUAAGAGAAGAACGAGUGUGAGAGUGGAAAGUUCACACUGUGACGGUAACUUACCAGAAAGGGACGGCUAACUACGUGCCAGCAGCCGCGGUAAUACGUAGGUCCCGAGCGUUAUCCGGAUUUAUUGGGCGUAAAGCGAGCGCAGGCGGUUAGAUAAGUCUGAAGUUAAAGGCUGUGGCUUAACCAUAGUACGCUUUGGAAACUGUUUAACUUGAGUGCAGAAGGGGAGAGUGGAAUUCCAUGUGUAGCGGUGAAAUGCGUAGAUAUAUGGAGGAACACCGGUGGCGAAAGCGGCUCUCUGGUCUGUAACUGACGCUGAGGCUCGAAAGCGUGGGGAGCAAACAGG
rnacentral:rRNA from 1 species